rnacentral:rRNA from 1 species
UACAGAGGUCUCAAGCGUUGUUCGGAUUCAUUGGGCGUAAAGGGCGCGUAGGCGGCGGGGUCAGUCGGGUGUGAAAUCUUGGGGCUUAACCCCGAAACGGCACUCGAAACUGCCCGGCUGGAGGGCCGGAGAGGAGAUCGGAAUUCACGGUGUAGCAGUGAAAUGCGUAGAGAUCGUGAGGAAGACCCGUGGCGAAGGCGGAUCUCUGGACGGCUAACUGACGCUGAGGCGCGAAAGCUAGGGGAGCGAACGGG